rnacentral:misc_RNA from 1 species
CAGAGUCCUCAAGUGAUGAUGCCUCUGGCAACAAGCAGGUAGAGUUACUAGAUGAACAAGUUAGAAACUCUGGAUCUGAUUCUCCAGCAUCGGGUGCAGUGUCUGAGCAUCAAUUACCUGAUAAGUCUUCAAGUCCACCAAAUUUGGACAAUUAUACUGAUAUUCGUUUAGUUCGAGACAAUAGUCCUUCCUAUACACCUUCAGAGUCACAGCAGCAGCGCCAGCAAGAUCCUCCUGAAUUACCAAGCUUUUCGGCAUAUGAUCCCCAGACUGGUUAUGAUAUAUCAUAUUUCAGACCCCCAAUUGAUGAAACUGUACGUGGACAGGGUCUACCAUCACCACAGGAGGCCUUAACCUCACAUAUGGCCAACAGCAUGCCAACUUCAACUAUAACUAUGGUACAGCAGCAGCAACAGCCACCAAUGGCCCAGAUGUACCCUCAAGUUCAUGUUUCACAUUUUGCCAAUCUUAUGCCAUAUCGUCAGUUCCUUUCUCCAGUUUAUGUUCCACAGAUGGCCAUGCCUGGCUAUUCUAGCAACCCUGCAUAUCCGCAUCCAUCAAAUGGCAGCAGUUACUUGCUAAUGCCUGGAGGUGGUUCCCAUCUCAGCGCAAAUGGGCUCAAAUAUGGAAUCCAGCAAUUUAAGCCAGUUCCUGGCAGCAGUCCCACUGGGUUUGGAAAUUUCACUAGUCCAACUGGGUAUGCCAUCAAUGCUCCUGGUGUUGUUGGAAGCGCAACUGGGCUUGAAGAUUCAUCUCGAAUCAAGUACAAAGAUAGAUGGGAAUCUCUAUGUUCCUAAUCCACAGGCCGAGACUUCUGAGAUUUGGGUUCAAAAUCCAAGAGAGCUUCCAGGUUUGCAAUCUGGUCCAUACUAUAACAUGCCUGGGCAAACGCCUCAUGCUGCUUACUUG